CAACCAGGUAGAGGCGCGUUUCUGGAAAUGCUAUUUUCAGUCCCGCUUGGAAGACAGUUUACUUGAUGAGCAUUUCCCCUUGGCAGAUAGAUACAGUCACGUCUAAGAGGAUUUGGGAAGGGGAAGUGUAAGGCAAGAAGGGCGUUACAUCUGAGGGUUCGUUCGCCAUCGCCGAAGUGUAAAUAGUUAAAAGUUGAAGUGGAAAAGUUUCCUGCUGACGGAUGUACCGGUGCACUGUUGCUGGGGAUGGAAUGCCGGUGCAACUUCUUUCUUCGUUUUUGCCACGGCUAGUCAACACUGGAAGAAAGUGGAAAGGACUUGAUACCUAUAUUCUAUCUAUUGAUUUUAUGCAAUGAGGAGCACUUGGUUCUUUUCAAUUAAUGUUACUGUUUCAAAGUAUCGUUUCAGUUCAUCCAUCGAAUGGAAUCGGAGGCUAUGAUGAAAUAGUAUACUGUCUUCAAUACUUAGUGGUUUAUGAUAGUUUGGAUUUGGAGUAAGUUUCAUUCUCGUCGGCAGACAGCACUUGCACUUACUGGGUUCGGUACUCGAAGUGUAACCAAUUUGAAAGGACAUAAAUUCGGUUUGGAAUAUUAUUUUUGUUUAAUUCAAGGUACAAAAU